AUUGAACGCUGGCGGCAGGCCUAACACAUGCAAGUCGAGCGAGCGGCGGACGGGUGAGUAAUGUAUGGGGAUCUGCCCGAUAGAGGGGGAUAACUACUGGAAACUGUGGCUAAUACCGCAUACUAUCGGAUGAACCCAUAGGGGAUUAGCUAGUAGGUGGGGUAAAGGCUCACCUAGCCGACGAUCUCUAGCUGGUCUGAGAGGAUGAACAGCCACACUGGGACUGAGAAACGGCCCAGACUCCUACGGGAGGCAGCAGUGGGGAAUAUUGCACAAUGGGCGCAAGCCUGAUGCAGCCAUGCCGCGUGUAUGAAGAAGGCCUUCGGGUUGUAAAGUACUUUCAGCAGGGAGGCGUUACCCGCAGAAGAAGCACCGGCUAACUCCGUGCCAGCAGCCGCGGUAAUAC
rnacentral:rRNA from 1 species